CACGUAGGGGACGAGCGUUGUUCGGAAUCACUGGGCGUAAAGGGUGCGUAGGUGGCGUGGUAAGUCAGAUGUGAAAGCCCAGGGCUCAACCCUGGAACUGCAUCCGAUACUGCCAUGCUAGAGAACUGAAGAGGAGUGUAGAAUUCUCGGUGUAGCAGUGAAAUGCGUAGAUAUCGAGAGGAAUACCAACGGCGAAGGCAGCACUCUGGGCAGUUUCUGACACUGAGGCACGAAGGCUAGGGGAGCAAACGGG
rnacentral:rRNA from 1 species